GCGCAGAAUGCAGAGAAGGACUAUGGCGAGCCAGCGCUUCCCUACGCCGUUCCACGGGCACGUGGGCCGCGGCGCCUUCAGCGACGUGUACGAGCCCGCGGAGGACACGUUUCUGCUUCUGGACGCGCUCGAGGCAGCAGCUGCCGAGCUGGCGGGAGUGGAAAUAUGCCUAGAAGUAGGGGCAGGGUCUGGUGUAGUAUCUGCAUUCCUAGCCUCUAUGAUAGGUCCUCAGGCUUUGUACAUGUGCACUGAUAUCAACCCUGAGGCAGCAGCUUGUACCCUAGAGACAGCACGCUGUAACAAAGUCCACGUUCAACCAGUUAUUACAGAUUUGGUCAAAGGCUUGCUACCAAGAUUGAAGGAAAAAGUUGAUCUUCUGGUGUUCAAUCCCCCCUAUGUAGUGACUCCACCUGAAGAGGUAGGAAGUCACGGAAUAGAGGCAGCUUGGGCUGGUGGCAGAAAUGGUCGGGAAGUCAUGGACAGGUUUUUCCCCCUGGUUCCAGAUCUCCUUUCACCAAGAGGAUUAUUCUAUUUAGUUACCAUUAAAGAAAACAACCCAGAAGAAAUUUUGAAAAUAAUGAAGACAAAAGGUCUGCAAGGAACCACUGCACUUUCCAGACAAGCAGGCCAAGAAACUCUUUCAGUCCUCAAGUUCACCAAGUCCUAGCAUGCAGUGUGUGCCCAGAGCUACUGGAAACUGAAUGCAUUUAGCAUAUCUUGAAACUGAAGUCAUUCAUUAGAUGGAUUUACAUCACUGACUCCCCUGGUUCUCACGCCUUUGGACUCAGACUGAAUUAUACCACAGGCCUUCCUGGGUCUCCAGCUUUAUAGAUGACAGAUCAUGGGACCUCUUAGCCUCCAUAAUCAUGUAAGCCAUUUUCUUGUAGUAUUGAUAAAAGAUAUAUUAGACCAAUCUAUAAAACAGGUACUAUGAAAGAAAAGGGAGACGGGCACAUGCCUAGGCAAAUAGGGAAGGGUCCCUGGAGAACCUCUGACUUGCCCAGGUCAUUGUGUACAGAUGCCUUGCCUGAACAUGCCCACUGUGAAAAAUUCCAUUUCUCAACACAUGUGCAGUAAGGGAAAUAAAUCAAUGUAGCUUAGACCAAGCGCCCGUACAUGGGGUGGAGCCACGCGGAGUUUGCGCCUUAUGCAGGGGAGAAGCCAUGUGCCUUCAGCUCGUGUGUGGUGGCCUGGCAUUCAAUUUGUGAGGUGGAAAACCUGCAUGAAGGACCCCUCCUUUUGUGGAGAGCUUUCCUUUCGCUUAAUAAAUUCUGCCCUCCUUGCC